GUACUCACUGUAUACUCAUAGUAUUGUAUGUCAUGAAAUAAUUUAAUAAAAAAGUAAGUAAUAGUACGUAUUAUGUCAAAAAAAGCUCAGAAAAGUCAUACAUAAUGUCAAAAAGUGUUAUUACAUAGUUAUUACAUUGUUAUAACAUGUAUUAAUGACAAAAAUCUAUCAAAAAGUGUUAUUACAUAGUUAUUACAUUGUUAUAACAUGUAUUAAUGACCAAAACAUCUAUCAAAAAGUGUUAUUACACAGUUGUACACAGUACAUGCCAUAAAAGUGGGCGUAAAUUAUUUUUUCGUCCAUGAAAAAAAAAUUCAAAAAAAAUUCUAAUUUUUUUUUUCUUAAAUGAGGAUGUUCUCUUCCUUUGUCGGAGUUGUCCUAUUCGGGUCUCUCCCUUGCUCUGAGGUGUCCUACUCUGGUCUCUCCCUUUAUCUGAUUUGUCCUACUCUGGUCUCUCCCUUUCUCUGAGGUGUUCUACUUUGGUCUCUCCCUUUGUCUGAGGUGUCCUACUCUUCUCUGAGUUGUCCUACUCUUGUCUCUUCCUUUGUCUGAGGUGUCCUACUCUUGUCUCUUCCUUUGUCUGAGGUGCCCUACUCUGGUCUCUCCCUUUCUCUGAGGUGUCCUACUCUGGUCUCUCCCUUUCUCUGAGGUGUCCUACUCUGGUUUCUCCCUUGCUCUGAGGUGUCCUACUCUGGUCUCUCCCUUUCUCUGAGUUUUCCUACUCUGGUUUCUGCCUGUCCUUGUGUUAAUACUCUCCUACUCUCUUCUUGCCUGCACUUCCUUUCCUAGCCUCUCUUUCCUAUCUGGGGGGCCUAUCUAAGUGCACAUACGCUGAUACCGAGCUGGUCUUGAACCCGUCACUGGCGCCUUUAGUGGCGAGGACAAACCAACCGCGCCACCAACGCGCACGUACGCAUGCAACUGUUCUCCGGGUGUAUUUGUCUUUGUCAUUCUGUGUGUAAAGCUCAAAAUAAAUUGACUGUUCUUGUGUUGGAACCCAUAACCUUUGUGUCUCUUAACCAGCGUUCCAUCACACUGAGCUAUCAGAUCUGAUCACUAAGCUUAUUGUUAGUUGUGUAUUUGUCUUUGUCAUUCUGGGUGUAAAGCGCAAAAUAAAUAGUUUAUUCCUGUA